rnacentral:lncRNA from 1 species
UAAUUUUUUAAAAUUAAAUAUAGUAGGGCAUUUUAAAGUAAUUUUCAGUACUAAUAUUUAAUGUAACUUGAAAGUUGCUAGAGAGAAUCAGCAUAAUCCAGUUAUAUGAUGUUUAGUAUCCUCUGCCUCAUCUAUAAGUAAAAUUCAGAAAGACUGCUGCAAGUCUUAAGACAUCUGAUAUCUGGGAACAGACUUAAAAAAAAAGUUCUCCUCUCAAAGCUUGUAGUCUCCUCUAGAUUCUCCUAAAAGAUAUAUCUCUAAUUACAUGAAAUGUCAGAAAAGUCCCAAAUAUAUCUGCAAAAUAUAGGUAAACAAUUAGUUUACCAUGUAGACCAUGAGUUCCAUUCCAAGGAUAUUUAAACAUACAAAUAUUAUUACUGCUUCUCUUGGCCAGGCGUGGUAGCCUGUAAUUCCUUCAAUUAUGGCACUUUGGGAGGCUGGGGCAGGCAGAUCACUUGAGGUCAGGAGUUCGAGACCAGCCUGGUGAACAUGGCAAAACCCUGUCUCUACUAAAAAUACAAUAAUUAGUCGGGCAUGGUGGCACACGCCUGUAGGCCCAGCUGAGGCACAAGAAUUGCUCGAACAUGGGAUGUGGAGGUUGCAGUGAGCUGAGAUCGCACCACUGCACUUAGCCCAGGCAACAAAGUGAGAUCCUGUCUCAAAUAAAUAAAUAAAUAAAUAAAUAAAAAUGUUACUACUGCUUCUCUUAAGAUAUAUCUUUACUUGAUGAUCAAUGACAUGAGGACAGAGAAAUAUAAGAGCAAUAAUCUAAAGAGUGAGGGCCUAAAGAAUUUCACUCAUGACUCAGGCUAGCCUUCUCAAAACAUUACAGGGGCUAAAAAGCAGAAACUGGGAAAACUCUGAGUGGAACAGUCCUACAGAAGAACUGGAACGCAAAUCAAUACUAUUAAUAAUAGCGUCUGAGCCAAGGACUGCCUUCAGGAAGUUGCUCAUCACUAGAUAAGUAAAAAUAAUCCCUUACAUUUGCAUAAUAAUAAAUGUAUUUGCAUAAUAUGAAAGAUACUUUUCUAUUUAUUAUCUCACUUUCAAAAAACAUCUCUAUGAGGCAGGUAGAACAGAUAUUUUCUUUCAAUUUAUUUCACCAAUAAUUAAUUACUAAGCACCUGUGUAUUAGUUACAUGUACUUGUGACUAAGGAUCCAAAGAUGAAGAAAGUCUUUAUUUACUAAGUGCUAGAUGCCAAAUGUGUUCAAUGUCAGGUAAGUGUUGUAAUAGAACUAAGAAUAUGUUUAAGAGUGAUCUGGAGGAGCCCAGGAAGGCUUCAGGGAGAAGCAACUUUUGAGUUGUGUAUUAAAGCAUGGCAAGAAUGGGUCAGACAGUCAAAGACAGGAAGGGCAAACAAUGUGCAAAUGCACAGAACCACAAAAGAACACGACAUAUUUGCAAAACUGAAAGUAAUUCUGUAUGGCUAGACCACAGCUUGCACAUGGAAUAUGACGUGAAAAGGAGAGGGAGUAGGGGGUCAGAGCUCAUGGGAGACAGUACGUUAAAGUGGUUAAAAGUAUAAGACCUAAGACCAGACCUGGAUUCAAAUCCUGACUCUACCAUUUACCUGUUGGCCCUACCGUCUCAAAGCCAGUUUCCUCUUCUGUAAAAUAAGAUUUUCGGAAUAGGAAUAUCUAUCUCAUAGAAGUGUUGUGAAGAUUAAGAGAUGUAAUUGCAUGUAAAAUGCUUAGCAAAGUCUCUAAUAGAUUAAACAAAUGACUUAAGAAGUAGUGAAUUAUGCCAUGAAAAGAAUUUUGGAAUUUAUCUCACAGACAAUAGAAGUCAGAAAAGGUUUUUUUUUUUUUUUUUUUUGAGACAGAGUCUCGCUCUGGAGUGCAGUGGCGUGAUUCCAGCUCACUGCAACCUCCGCCUCCUGGGUUCAAGCAAUUCUCAUGCCUCAGCCUCCCAAGUACCUGGGAUUACAGGCACAUGUCACCGUGCUUAGCUAAUUUCUUGUAUUUUUAUUAGAGACAGGGGUUUCACCAUAUUGGCCUGGCUGGUCUUGAACUCCUGGCCUCAAGUGAUCCACCCAUCUUGGCUUACCAAAGUGCUGGGAUUACAGGUGUGAGCCACAUGUCCAGCCAGAAAAUAUUUUUUAAGUGGAGAACCAUUAAGAUUAGAUAUAGCUUAGAAAAUCCACUAUAGUAGCACAAUGAGGAAAAAAUGGACUGAAAUGGAGGAGGGCAAGAUUAAUUAGGAAGCCUCUGAAAAUAUACAAGGUAGGGGAAAAAUGGGAACCUGAACAAAAGGCGGCACUGGAAGUAGGGAUGGAGAAGGGACAUGGAUUUGGGAGUUAUUUAUAAGGGAGCAAAGAAAUGACUGAGUAAAAGGGAAGGAAAGUCAAAGUCUUCCAGGUUUCUCGUGUGAAUGACAAGUACCCUGGGGGUGUCAUCAACCAAGAUUAGAAAUAUGGGAAGAUGAAAUGGUUUUUAGGAAAGAUAAUGAUUUUAAUUUUAGAACUGUCAAAUCUGAGGUGAAUCCUUCAAAAAAGUCAAAUGAUAGUUCCAAAGAGUGACCAUGAAAUCUGACAAAUAAGAGUUAUCUUAGCAAGGAGCAGUCUCAUGGAAAUAAUAAAAGCUGAAACAAAUAGUAGUGAUUGAGGAGUAAAUGAGAGGUGAAGCAGUGGAGAUAAUACAGGUUCUGUUUGGAGGAGACUUGGCAAUAAAGGUGAAAAAAUAGGAUGGAUGAGAUAGCACUCAGCAAUGAAAUGUAACAGAAUUGAUGCAACACAGGUGAAUCUCAAAAUCAUGCCAAGUGAAAGAAGUAUAGUCCCUAUAAUCACCUAUAGUCCCAAUUACUCAGGAGGCUGAGGCAGGAGAACUGCCUGAGGCCAGGAGUUUAAGACCAGUCUGGGCAACACAGCAAGACCCCAUCUCUAAAAAAAUUAAAAAACAUUAGCCAGGCAUGGUGUGUGCACCUGUAGUCCCAGCUACUCGAGAGGCUGGGGUGGGAGGACUACUUGAGCUCAUGAGUUCAAGACCAGUCUAGGCAAUACAGCCAGACCUCAUCUCUUAAAAAAACAAACAAAAACAUUUAUAUGAAAUUCUAGAACACAAAACAAAUCUAUAGUGACAAAAAGUAGAUCAAUGUGGGGGAAGAGACUACAAAGGGACAUGAGAGAACUUUUUGGGAGGAUCAAUAUAAUGACUGGGGUGACAGAUACUGGGGGUUGUACAUUUGUCAACAUCCGCU